rnacentral:rRNA from 1 species
GAUGAACGCUGGCGGCGUGCCUAAUACAUGCAAGUCGAGCGAACAGAUGAGGAGCUUGCUCCUCUGACGUUAGCGGCGGACGGGUGAGUAACACGUGGAUAACCUACCUAUAAGACUGGGAUAACUUCGGGAAACCGGAGCUAAUACCGGAUAAUAUAUUGAACCGCAUGGUUCAAUAGUGAAAGACGGUUUUGCUGUCACUUAUAGAUGGAUCCGCGCCGCAUUAGCUAGUUGGUAAGGUAACGGCUUACCAAGGCAACGAUGCGUAGCCGACCUGAGAGGGUGAUCGGCCACACUGGAACUGAGACAAGGUCCAGACUCCUACGGGAGGCAGCAGUAGGGAAUCUUCCGCAAUGGGCGAAAGCUUGACGGAGCAACGCCGCGUGAGUGAUGAAGGUCUUCGGAUCGUAAAACUCUGUUAUUAGGGAAGAACAAAUGUGUAAGUAACUAUGCACGUCUUGACGGUACCUAAUCAGAAAGCCACGGCUAACUACGUG